UCCGGUUUGUCACCGGCAGUCUCAUUAGAGUGCCCAACUGAAUGUAGCAACUAAUGACAAGGGUUGCGCUCGUUGCGGGACUUAACCCAACAUCUCACGACACGAGCUGACGACAGCCAUGCAGCACCUGUGUAACGGCUCUCUUGCGAGCACCCCCGGAUCUCUCCAGGGUUCCGUCCAUGUCAAGGGUAGGUAAGGUUUUUCGCGUUGCAUCGAAUUAAUCCACAUCAUCCACCGCUUGUGCGGGUCCCCGUCAAUUCCUUUGAGUUUUAAUCUUGCGACCGUACUCCCCAGGCGGUCUACUUCACGCGUUAGCUGCGUUACCAAGUCAAUUAAGACCCGACAACUAGUAGACAUCGUUUAGGGCGUGGACUAC
rnacentral:misc_RNA from 1 species